UCCCUUGUUUCUGAGCUUUAGUUGAUGAUGUUAGAAAGUUGGUUCCCUUAUCUGAAUGUAGUCAUUCUAAAAUUUAUUUUUCGGGUUUUUGACCAAAGGUGGUAUGAUGAUUUUAGCGACAUGGUUGAACAAAGCAGCUCUUGAAGAACAAACAACUGUUAUUCUUAUCAUUUUUAAGGUGCUUAUUUUAUUGCAUGAUUAGAUUUAUAAUUUGCUUUGUCUGAUAUAAAAAGGCUCACCCUAGAUUGGAACAUAUACACAGGUUCUUCGUCACCUUCUAUUACAUAAGGCUUUGCCAGUACAUAUUUCAGCCAUAUUACAAGCUGUUAACAGGUUGCGAUUUUACUGGACAUCAGGUGGCACUUGUUGUGGCCUGUCUUAUUUAUUUCUAUAUUUACAUUGAUGUUGAUAAUACAUAUGGCAUCACUUAAAAUAUUAUUUAAAAGACUGCAUUGUCUAGGUAACAUUUAUGUAUGUCAUUAAACCAUAUGGAUUCUUGUACUUCGGUGGAUUUCAGGGAGAUUUGGCAAAUUACCUUCAAAAGAAAGGACGGCUACAGCCUUCUAAAGCUCUGAGAUUCUCUCUUGAUAUUGCUAGGUCAAGUAUGGUUACCUGAUUUGGCAAUUCUGCUUCUAUCCUUGUGCUUCCCUAUUGGAAUGUAACUCUUUAGAGAUGGAAACCUCUCGUUACAAAUAUCAUGUGGAUGAACUUACCUUGUUCAGGCAAGUAUCUAUUUUCUCUUAUGCAAUGUGUUUCUAAAAUUUAUCAUCAUCACUAGAAAAAGGUAACAGUGUC